UGGGGAAUCUUGCGCAAUGGCCUAACGGCUGACGCAGCGACGCCGCGUGAGGGAUGACGCUCUUCGGAGUGUAAACCUCUUUUGCCCGGGACGAAUUGCCAACUUCAGUUGGCUUGACGGUACCGGGUGAAUAAGCACCGGCUAACUCCGUGCCAGCAGCCGCGGUAAUACGGGGGGUGCGAGCGUUGUCCAGAAUCACUGGGCGUAAAGGGCGCGUAGGUGGUCUGAUAAGGGUGUGGUGAAAGCCCGGGGCUCAACCCCGGGUCGGCCGUGCCGACUGUUGGACUAGAGUGCUGUAGGGGCAGGCGGAAUUGACAGA
rnacentral:rRNA from 1 species